rnacentral:rRNA from 1 species
UACGUAGGGGCCUAGCGUUGUCCGGAUUUAUUGGGCGUAAAGAGCUCGUAGGCGGCUUGGUUAGUCAGGUGUGAAAUCUCCACGCUCAACGUGGAGGGGCCACCUGAUACUGCCAUGGCUUGAGUCCGGUAGGGGAGUGUGGAAUUCCCGGUGUAGCGGUGAAAUGCGUAGAUAUCGUAAGGAAGACCAGUGGCGAAGGCGGGUCUCUGGACAGUUCCUGACGCUGAGGCACGAAGGCCAGGGGAGCAAACGGG